ACUGAAGUUAGGUCAGGUACCUUUGAAACCUUUCUUCAUUAGCAGCUAAUUCACCAGGCUGAAAAAAAACAGUGGAGACAGCUGGACACAUACUCUGCCAGCCCUGCAAGGUCAUCUUUCUCCAGCUUCCCUGCUAUAAGAGGGAAGGAAUGUGAGCAGCCAGCAUCUCACCCAACCAGAAAGCUGCACUGGAUUGGAAGGUUCAGGUCUUGUAGCAGAUGGGAAAAGGCCAUUUAAAGGUGGGUGUUGAGAGGAUGGUGCCAGCGAAGGACAAGGAGCAAUGGCCAUAAACUAAAACACAUCAAGUUCAACCUAAAUGUGAAGCAGAAAUUCUUUAUGGUGAGGGUGGUAGAGCACUGGAGCAGCUGCCU